rnacentral:ncRNA from 2 species
AAGUGAGGUAGAGGCGCGAUAUUCUAACAGUCUUUAGCGGAGUUCGAGAAAGCAUUGAUGCUAAGGAGAAGGAGAUAUCGCCGAAGUUUAUAAUAUUUCUCAGUAUUAUUUGCUGGGCCUGCAGUUAAGAAUUGCAGGACUGUCUCAAUAAACACAUAUCCCAAGUUUAUUGAGUUGUGCUAUCUCAUUA